GUUUUUACUUAGAUUUGGGUGGCGGACGGGUGAGUAACGCGUAAAGAACUUGCCUCACAGCUAGGGACAACAUUUAGAAAUGAAUGCUAAUACCUGAUAUUAUGAUUUUAAGGCAUCUUAGAAUUAUGAAAGCUAUAUGCACUGUGAGAGAGCUUUGCGUCCCAUUAGCUAGUUGGAGAGGUAACAGCUCACCAAGGCGAUGAUGGGUAGCCGGCCUGAGAGGGUGAACGGCCACAAGGGGACUGAGACACGGCCCUUACUCCUACGGGAGGCAGCAGUGGGGAAUAUUGGACAAUGGACCGAGAGUCUGAUCCAGCAAUUCUGUGUGCACGAUGAAGUUUUUCGGAAUGUAAAGUGCUUUCAGUUGGGAAGAAAUAAAUGACGGUACCAACAGAAGAAGUGACGGCUAAAUACGUGCCAGCAGCCGCGGUAAUACGUAUGUCACGAGCGUUAUCCGGAUUUAUUGGGCGUAAAGCGCGUCUAGGUGGUUAUGUAAGUCUGAUGUGAAAAUGCAGGGCUCAACUCUGUAUUGCGUUGGAAACUGUAUAACUAGAGUACUGGAGAGGUAAGCGGAACUACAAGUGUAGAGGUGAAAUUCGUAGAUAUUUGUAGGAAUGCCGAUGGGGAAGCCAGCUUACUGGACAGAUACUGACGCUAAAGCGCGAAAGCGUGGGUAGCAAACAGGAUUAGAUACCCUGGUAGUCCACG
rnacentral:rRNA from 2 species